rnacentral:rRNA from 1 species
UGAGGAACAUGACCUUCGGCGGGGGAGUAGCCGGCCCAACGGCCGGGUAAUACCGCGUACGACCACAUGGGGACAUCCCUGAGUGGUGAAAGCAGCAAUGCGCCGAUGGAAUGCCUCGCGGCCUAUCAGCUAGUUGGUGAGGUAACGGCUCACCAAGGCGACGACGGGUAGCUGGUCUGAGAGGAUGGCCAGCCACAUUGGGACUGAGACACGGCCCAGACU